rnacentral:rRNA from 1 species
UACGUAGGUGGCGAGCGUUGUCCGGAUUUAUUGGGCGUAAAGCGCGCGCAGGUGGUCCGUUAAGUCCUGUGUGAAAUCUCCCGGCUCACCCGGGAGGGGGCGCGGGAUACUUGGGGGACUGGAGGCAGGCAGAGGCCGGUGGAAUUCCCGGUGUAGUGGUGAAAUGCGUAGAGAUGUGGAGGAACACCGAUGGCGAAGGCAGCCCCCUGGGUCAACACUGACGCUCAUGCACGAAAGCGUGGGGGAGCAAACAGG